CUUCAGAUUAUACCGAAUCGUACCCCAAACCGACACAGGUGGUCAGGUAGAGAAUACUAAGGCGCUUGAGAGAACUCGGGUGAAGGAACUAGGCAAAAUCGUACCGUAACUUCGGGAGAAGGUACGCUCCGAUUGGUGAUGAGACUUGCUCUCUAAGCUGAUUGGAGCCGCAGUGACCAGGUGGCUGGGACUGUUUAUUAAAAACACAGCACUGUGCAAAAUCGCAAGAUGACGUAUACGGUGUGACACCUGCCC
rnacentral:rRNA from 1 species